rfam:Hordeum vulgare subsp. vulgare, WGS project CAJW01000000 data, contig: morex_contig_2097780
AAUCUACUCCCUCCGUCCAGAAAUACUUGUCAUUGGAAUGGAUGUAUCUAGAUGUAUUUCAGUUUUAGAUACAUCAUUUUUAUCCAUUUGUGCGACAAGUAAUUCCGGACGAAGGGAGUACUUA